rnacentral:rRNA from 1 species
AUGAUAAAACUUGAUUCUUCCAAUUACUCAUUAUGGAAGCCCAUGGUGGAAGAUAUCCUUUAUUGCAAGGAUUUGUAUCAGCCAAUUGUGAAAGAUAAGAUACCCACCGGUGUCACAGAAGAAGAAUGGAGAGUGUUGCACAGAAAGGCAGUAGUUAUGAUUCGGUUGUACAUCAACCAUAAUAUUUUCCAUCAUGUUGUAAAUGACACAAAUGCUUAUGAGAUGUGGCAGAAGUUGGAGUCUAUGUAUGAGAGGAAUACAUCAAUGAACAAGGCCUCGGUGAUCAAAAGACCUGCAAAGCUUGAGUACCGAGAUGGCACAAGUGUGAUUGAGCACUUGGAUGUCUUCUAA